GGAGAGACAGAGGAACCAUCACACACAGAGAACGAUGCAACAGAGAAGAAACUCCGGUUGAACUCACAAAGGCAGCAGCUCUGGGGUUUUGCAAAAGAAACAGACACACGAGCGCACAACCCUGCACCCUGGCUGAUGCCCCGAGUGAACGAGAACCUCCCAGGGCACUGUUCAGAAGGACUCUGACUCCGGGAUCGGAAAAGCAAUCCCAGGGCACGUGGGGAACGAAGCAGAGACGCCUAGAUCUGCAGAGCGGGCCGCUGUGCCUGGCUGGAUCUGGUCUGCACCCUGUCCCUCAUAACCCGCCGUGUGCUCCAGGACUAGCUGGGAUAGCUGUUGGAUGUGCCUGCAAGAGUCAAAAGCCAUCCAAAGGAAUUAUGGAGCCCACUGCUGAAAGGCAGCCACCUCUGGGGUGGCACAUGACAACUACUUAACAGCACACAGCAACACUGAGCAACCACAGAGGCUAGGAGGAAUUGCUAGUGGGGCCCAGUAGCCCUCCCCGACAGGAGCCAGUAUCAGACACAUGACAGGAGGGCGCUAGCUGGCAAGGAUGCAAUACCAGGAGGAGGAAGCCUGGCCGACUGGAAGGGUGCUGGCAAAGGGAGAGGAGUGGAGAUACAUCUAAUUCUAAAUAUAACUUCCCAUGGCAGUUCCACCUCGUCAGGUCUCUUACAGAUCCAGCUCCGUCUUCAUCAUUCCAAAUUCAAAACAGGACCCCAGGGAAAGCCUGAAAGACAAGACGUAGCCUAGAUGCAUCCUCAGGAGAAAUAAUCCUGAGCCAGGAGCGAGCAGCCCUGGCUACCGCUCCUCUGCGGCCCUCCCAGGAGACGCACACCUGGGAGACCCCUCCCACCUUUCCGGCUGGAGCUGCGAAAGGGAGAGCCGGCUGUCAGAGGUGGGGAUCCCCAGCUCUUUGGGGCGGGAGGAGACAGCUUAUUCUCCCAAAACAACUGCCCCAGCGCACAUCUCCAUCCCUGAAACCUCCCCACUGGACCUGCCGGGCAACGGGAGCCUGCUCCUGCCUAUCCAGCCCUUCCACCUCUCCCAACAGGUGCGCCAACCCCCUGCCCAGUGCUCAGCCCUCCCCCCAAGGCUCCCGGGCCAUGCACCGGCCGACAAGGGUUAACCAAUGGCAGGUCGGGGGAUCCACACCUGCUCUGCAUCCCCUCUGAUGUGAAAUUCACAGCCCUGUAGUUCCUUGACCCUUCUGAUCCAGCAGCCACCUCCCCCAGGGGAACUCCUGCCCCCUGUCCUGGCUUAGCUAGGAGCCGCUGAGCAUAACCGAUCCAGGCCAGGACGCCUUGUCGGCUAAUUAACUCUCUGCUCUGCUGGGGUCCGAAGCUUUCCACUAUUUCCCUUCUCCCUCCUGGAGCGAGUUGGCAGCUCUCCGAGGACAGCCAUGCCUCCAGCUGCCCAAUUUAGCCCAAGGCCCCACUGCAAUAGCACCUCAUCCAGCAUGACCGUUGUCCCCCUCCCCCCCCCCCCCAAUGUCCCAUGGACAGCUUGCUUCUGGGAUAGCGGGAGGACUGAGCAAACACCCCUGGCGCCUUUGCCGCAGCACGCACCUGCAGUGCCCAGCCACUGUCCCUCACAAGCAUGGACUCUUUGGGCUUAGCAAGAAAACAGAGGCCAAAAAAUCUGGUGGGCCCAGCAGGGACGUGAUCCCCAAUAGAGUGGAACUCAGUCAAACCGAGCCCAGCUUUCUGCCCUUCUCCUCGCUGAGGACGAUUGUCCUGCCAAAUUUCAGCUCCCAAACCCCGUCCGUUUGGAUAAUGCAGCUGUUCCAAGAGAUGGUGCCAAGGAUUUUGCAUGAGUGGGAAAAGUGCAUUUACUCCAUUCUUUGUUCUCAAGCACGGCUGCCCGAUCUGGGCCCAACUCUCCCCAGGCCUGUCACAGCCCGAGCUAGAAAAAUUUCAGCCGGCGUUUUGGAAAAACAACUACAACAGGUGUUGAGGUUGGGCCCAGCCCUGAAACCUUCACUCCAGCUGCUCCCAGUCCUGCAGUGACCAGACCCAUUCCCAUUGCUCCUGCCCCCACAGGGCUGCAAAUGAGACUCAAACCCAGAGCAGCAGAAACCGAGAUUGCAAUGAAGGAAAAUAACUUGGAACAAACGUGUCCAGCAAACCCAUGACUAUACCUAAUGCUGCAAGCCAAGGGGGGAGAACUACACGUGGGAACCUGGCUGCUGGCCCUUGACUGACUGCGGGUUUCUGGUCCAUUAGAUAUGGUGGCCUGCCAGGGCGGGUCUUGAUAGGACAUUGGAGGAGAAUCGCUCCACCCACCACUGAAAUGCAGCCACCUCUGGGGCAGAACACAGCAGCUGUUUAGCAAUGGGUGGUGUGACAAAGUAGAAAUGUUCGUAAUGUUUUCUCUGAAUACUGUGUGGGUGCCUCAGUUUCCCCUAUGCAGUUCUUAAGUAUCUAGGUGGUGGAAUAAGCAUGUGUGACUGUUGCAGAGCCUGAGAGGGCCAGUGUGAUGGUGUCUGCACAGAGAAUGGCUGAUACCCUGUCUCCUGGCAACUGAUGGCCUGGGCCCCUCCCCUGCAAAGGUGCCAACUGAAGGUGUUGGAGAACAAGAG